rnacentral:rRNA from 1 species
GACGAACGCUGGCGGCGUGCCUAAUACAUGCAAGUUGAGCGCUGAAGGUUGGUACUUGUACCAACUGGAUGAGCAGCGAACGGGUGAGUAACGCGUGGGGAAUCUGCCUUUGAGCGGGGGACAACAUUUGGAAACAAAUGCUAAUACCGCAUAAAAACUAUAAACACAAGUUUUAAGUUUGAAAGAUGCAAUUGCAUCACUCAAAGAUGAUCCCGCGUUGUAUUAGCUAGUUGGUGAGGUAAAGGCUCACCAAGGCGAUGAUACAUAGCCGACCUGAGAGGGUGAUCGGCCACAUUGGGACUGAGACACGGCCCAAACUCCUACGGGAGGCAGCAGUAGGGAAUCUUCGGCAAUGGACGAAAGUCUGACCGAGCAACGCCGCGUGAGUGAAGAAGGGUUUCGGAUCGUAAAACUCUGUUGGUAGAGAAGAACGUUGGUGAGAGUGGAAAGCUCAUCAAGUGACGGUAACUACCCAGAAAGGGACGGCUAACUACGUG